rnacentral:rRNA from 1 species
GACGAACGCUGGCGGCGUGCUUAACACAUGCAAGUCGAACGGAAAGGCCCUGCUUUUGUGGGGUGCUCGAGUGGCGAACGGGUGAGUAACACGUGAGUAACCUGCCCUUGACUUUGGGAUAACUUCAGGAAACUGGGGCUAAUACCGGAUAGGAGCUCCUGCUCCUUGUUGUGGGUUGGAAAUUUUCGGCGGUUGGGGAUGGUCUCGCGGCUUACCAGCUUGUUGGUGGGGUAGUGCCUGACCAAGGCUUUGACGGGUAGCCGGCCUGAGAGGGUUACCGGCCACAUUGGGACUGAGAGACGGACCAGACGCCUACGGGAGGCAGCAGUGGGGAAUAUGGCACAAUGGGCGGAAGCCUGAUGCAGCAACGCCGCGUGCGGGAUGACGGCCUUCGGGUUGUAAACCGCUGUCGCCGGUGACGAAGAGUGAGUGACGGUAAUGGGUAAAGAAGCACCGGCUAACUACGUG